UUUUGUCAGGGAAGAAACGGUCUGAUCUAAUACAUUGGGCUAAUGACGGUACCUGAAGAAUAAGCACCGGCUAACUACGUGCCAGCAGCCGCGGUAAUACGUAGGGUGCAAGCGUUAAUCGGAAUUACUGGGCGUAAAGCGUGCGCAGGCGGCUUUGCAAGACAGAUGUGAAAUCCCCGGGCUCAACCUGGGAACUGCAUUUGUGACUGCAUGGCUAGAGUACGGUAGAGGGGGAUGGAAUUCCGCGUGUAGCANUGAAAUGCGUANAUNUGCGGAGGAACACCGAUGGCGAAGGCAAUCCCCUGGACCUGUACUGACGCUCAUGCACGAAAGCGUGGGGAGCAAACAGGAUUANAUACCCUGGUAGUCCACGCCCUAAACGAUGUCAACUGGUUGUUGGACGGCUUGCUGUUCAGUAACNAAGCUAACGCGUGAAGUUGACCGCCUGGG
rnacentral:rRNA from 1 species